UAGCCAUCUAAUAUUAAGAUUUAAUGUUCCGUAAGCGACCCAGUGGCAGUGGCAAUUCCCAAAAAACUAUUAUCUAGGCCAUGUAAAAUUACUGGUUGGCGUUCGUCAGCUAGUUAUCGACAAUGACAGCAAAUUACUAAACACAAAACUCCGCAGAGCUACCCUUAAUAAUUACUGAUCUAACAUUUUUCUUUACUUUGGCCUUCGCCAUACCAUUGUAAUGUUAGUGGAUUAUUUGAUCUUCUUAGACCUAACAUGGCGGCUUUACUUUCACGUCCACCCUAACAUCGCUGAUGCUAUCACGCCGCUGCUGCCAUCACUCUUAUGCUGCCAUCACGUCGCUGCUGCUAUCACAUUCGCUGCUGUUUAAACCGUCGUGGGGAUGAGCUGCCGCUGCAUCAUGUGCCAAAGGGACGUACACGCCGGCAAACAGCCGACGCACCAGAUAGGAAUAAUCUUCUCCGACAACAUAAACUUUGCAUCAACUGUUUGUUAAAUUCUCACGGGAAAAAUACUGUGAAAGCGAAUUCAGUGGUGUGUACAGUCAACGACGACAUCAUUCAUUGCUUCACAUAACCAAUUUUACAAAUAUGAAGCAAAAUCACAUACAUAAAAAGGAAAUUCAAGCUCUUCAUUCAGAGAACGAAAACAAAAUUAUUUUAUUCAUAGCGGUCAUUUCUAUAGAACAAAAGGGAGAUUAUUCAAAUUGAGAGCAUUAAUAGAUCAAGGUUCUCAAAGAUCCUUUAUAUCAUCAAAGGCUCAGAAUCGGUUAAAAUUGCCAUUCGAAAAUUCCAGUUUUCAAAUUUAAAAUUCAAUCACCAUAGUCCAUCCAAACGCGGAUAUACGAUUAGAUGCACAAGACAUUGUUGUACCGCAGCUCACUAAUUUGCUUCUAAACUAUGAAGUAAAUAAAAAUUCGUGGAAAAUAAUCUCAUACCUUAAAUUAGCAGAUCCCAACUGCCAUAAUCCAUCACAAAUCGACAUAUUAUGGGGCAGCGACUUAAUACUUGAAAUAGUUCUUGAGGAUAUAGAGAAAAUAUCUAAUAAAUUUUUAGACCAAAAUAUAAUCUUUGGAUCGAUAUUAAGUUACAGAAAAACUUCCUUCACAACUGAAGUAGAAAAUAUUGAAUAAUAUUAGAACGAAUAUUUAAAUAAUCAACUCAAAAAAUUCUGAGAAGUAGAAGAAUUACCUUAGAUCAUACAACCUUCAGAAGAAGACCUGGCAUGCGAAGCCUAUUACAAGUCUACAACAACAAGAAACGAACAUGGUCGUUAUGUUGUGCCACUCUCAUUCCAGCCCACCUUUUCCAGAAACUAAAGAUCUAGGCCACUCUAAAAUAUCAGUAGUCCAAUAAUUCCUAAGCUUAAAAAAACGCUUAAUAAAGGAAAGCGAACAUAAAUCAGCAUAUGAUAACGUGAUGGAUGAAUAUCUUGACCUCAAUCAUAUGGAAGAAGCUGUACUAAAUGGUAGAUAUUUAUCUUUUUAUCUUCCACAUCAUGGGGUACUAAGACUAGAUAAAAUCACAGCAAAAGUACGAGUUGUUUUUAAUUCCUAAAAGUGUACGAGCUCAGGCAAAUCACUCAAUGGUGUACUAUACACAGGGCCAACAUUGCAACCUGAUCUCAUGCUGCUAAUACUAAAUUGGCGAAUGUUUUUAACGGAGAUGUAGAAAAAAUGUAUAAGCAAAUUUUAGUACAUAAAGAUGACCAAGAUUUUCUACAUAUAGUCUUCUGAAAAUCAAGUAAUAGUCGAAUCAGGGACUACCAACUUAAAACAGUUACCUUUGGCAUCAAUCGUGGACCCUAUUUAACCAUUAGAACAACACAAACAUACAUUAAACAACAUACCUGAUGGAAUAGGUAGCCAAAGUCUGUCAUUAGCGUGCGAAUCACAGUGAUCAGAGCCCUAGUUCAGCCGGGUUGCCCCUAAAGAAAAUUACAUCAAAUCAUCCCGAGAUAAAAAACAUAAAAAGUGAAUACUUAUUAGAUACAAACUUCCUCAAAUUUGAAAAACUCAGAACUCCAAAAUCCUCGUGAUUCAAUUGAAUGCGAUAACAGAUCAAUAUACAAUUGAGUCAAUAUCUGCAAUAUCCGCCAUAACCAAACGUCAUAUAUUCUCUUCGGUGGCAAAACUUUUCGAUCCCGCAGGAUGGCUUUCGCCAACAAUGAUCCAAACAAAAAUCCUCAUUCAAGAACUGUGGCAAGAUAGCAGCAAUUUCGCACCUGACUUUAAUGUAGAAUUACAAGGCUUCUGCCUCUAUGUUAAGUUCUUCCUAAUUCAGAAAAGGGUAUAUGGCUGUCUGUGUAUUUCACGACAAAGGCAGUACACCUCAAGCUAUGUUCAGAUCUGUAUUCUGCGGCUUUCCUCGCAACGCAUUUCCAUCAAAAAUUAUAAACGACAAUGGGAAAAACUUUAUCAGAGCUCAAAGAGCCACAGAGAAAGAGUUUGUAAAUUUUACUACAGAAGUUUCCCCAUAAAUGGUUAAAAAUAUGCACAACAAGGAACCGAUUGAAGGAACCUACUCACAUGGCCGGAUUCUGGGAAAAAGCUGUGAAAAGCCUUCAAUCCUAUUUAAAGAAAACGUCAGAUCCCUCCGAUUUCACAGCUCUUACACCUGGAGAUUUCUUCAGAGGAGCUUCACUUCUCGCAAUACCUGAGGUAGAAGGAGACUUACUAAUUUAAUAGACCGAUGGGGAAAAAUUAAGAUACUUCAUCAUGAAUUCGCCAUAAGAGACAUCGAUGGAAAACGAUCCAGAAGGAACCAAAUGCGGGAUAAUGCGUCAUCAUACAUGAUGAAUGCCUUCCUCCAACCGUAUGGCAACUAGGCCGCAUUGUAUCGGGGACGAGAUGGUCAUAAAUGGACGAAUAAGAUAUCCGCAGCACUCCCAAGGCUGUGAGGUCCGUAAUUACUGCGCUUAGAGAAUCAGCUCCCCCAUCGAAGCAACAAGAAUGCAAAGCGUCAAGAGUCCGCCCAGACAAUCAUCUGCAGCAGCAGUCAGAGAUGCAAAUGCGAAGCAGUUUGAAGUGUAUCUGCCUCCACGAUGCAGUCUAUCCAUCGACCACACUGGUCUCAACGCCAAUAGAUCGCCAGAGCCCACGGCCACUGUAUGACUUGCUUGGCAAAUACUCAUUCCACCUUUGACUGUUUAACCGACGGAUCGUGUUAAUAUUGUCAACGAACGCAUCACACAUUGUUUCAUCGAUUCCCUCGACGAGCAAAAAAGACCAGUUAGCGGCACAGACAACACGAGGAUCCCGUCCAGCGCCGAAGAGUACAUUGAUCCAAGCCAUCCAGAGGGGCACGCUCGCGGCCACCUCCACCACCCAAUGGUCAUCGCAACCAGCGACAAAGAGCAACUGGAUUGAACGCCGUAGAGAGUACCCUGCAACAGUAGCAGAGACUUCUAGGUAAUUAAUUCGCCUAGGGAUGUUUAUGCGACUUCUGAUCCCGCGACAUUUUGCAACUCAGCACACAACCCACCAUACAACAUCAUACAACACAACACCACAUAUACCCACCAACACAACCACAUACAAUUAACCAACCACACUUCAACCAUUGUCCACCAUCCAAAUGAUCAAAAAGGACUAGAUUGGGAUUUCAGCCGUGACCUUUAAGGUUCGCCAUUGGUACGUUCCCGCAACGUAGUUUUCGUCGUUCGUGUGAAAAGUUAAAAUGAACUAUUGUCAAACUCGACGUAAACAAUUAUAAAUUAUCAAAUUCAUUAUAUCAUAUCAUAAAGUCAAAUUAAUAAAGGAUUCAAAAGGUUUU